UAGUCCUAGCCGUAAACGAUGGGUACUAGUCUCUGGGGGUCCUGAUAUCCUCGGGGACGUCGCUAAUGCAUUAGGUACCCCGCCUGGGGAGUAUGGUCGCAAGGCUAAAACUCAAAGGAAUUGACGGGGGUUCACACAAGCGGUGGAGCAUGUUGUUUAAUUCGAAGCAACGCGAAGAACCUUACCAGGGCUUGACAUGUUAGAAGUAGUGAACCGAAAGGGGAUCGAUUGGUAUCCAGUCCAAAACUAACACAGGUGCUGCAUGGCUGUCGUCAGCUCGUGUCGUGAGACGUUAGGUUAAGUCCUGUAACGAGCGAAACCCCUGUCGUCUGUUGCUACCAGGUUAUGCUGGGCACUCUGGCGAGACUGCCGGUGUUAAACCGGAGGAAGGCGGGGACGACGUCAAGUCAUCAUGGUCCUUACGUCCUGGGCUACAAACGUGCUACAAUGGCUGGUACAGAGAGACGCAAAACCGCGAGGUGGAGCAAAUCUUCAAAACCAGCCUCAGUUCGGA
rnacentral:rRNA from 1 species